rnacentral:lncRNA from 1 species
CUGUUAUAACCUGCUCCAUGACAACCUUGCAACGUCACUAUCAUUAUAAUCAUAUUCUUGUAGAUUUCUCAGUAUGAAGAAGAUAUGCGACACUCAUCAGGUUGUGCCGUGAAAACAUUAUAUGCUCUCUCAUUUAGAUACACGUGUCUCAUGAGAUCAUCCUAUUGUCUUGUCAAUAAAAGAUUCUUCUUUUUAACUAGAUUCUUUGCAAGCUUCUUUCCUUUAUCUGUUAUGAAAGGAUUUGUAGACAUUUCCCUUUUUAACGUUACUUUUAGACAUUUGAUUUUGUGUCUAAUCUGCAAGCUCAAACUUCAUCAGUAGUAUAUUCUAUCACCAAGUCGUCAAUUCUAUCUAUUGUUUGAUAUUUAGAUUUUUGUGUGUCAUGGGAUCAUUCUAUUGUCUUGUCAAUAAAAGGUUGUUCUUUUUAACUGGAUUCUUUGCAACCUUCUUUCCUUUAUCCGUUACGAAAGGAUUUGUAGACAUUUCCCUUUUUUCCAUUACUUUUAGAUAUUUGAUUUUGUGUCUAAUCUGCAAGCACAAACUUCAUUAUUAGUAUAUUCUAUCACCAAGUCAUCGAUUCUAUCUAUUGUUUGAUAUUAUUAAAUCCAUGUAUGAAAUAAAUCUUGGUUCAAGAUUCAUAUUGGAACAUGAAAUGAUGUAAACUCCCUCAUCUUGUUUGAUAUUUCCACUUCCUAGAUAUCCAAAAUUAGCCAAUCAAUGAAAUAAACUCAAACCCAAACGAGGUCCUUACAUUCUAUGUCUAUUAUUUAUAAUGAUUUUAUCCUAGUUUGUCAUAUUCAGUGAUAUAAAUAGUAUUACCGAUGCUGGUGCUAAUGGUUACACAAGGAUAAUGUCUGAUAAGAAAGCCAUAUAUUAUCGAGUCUUCUUUUGCAGCCAAACAUGCUAGGAAUAUACCAAGUUUGUCAGUUAUGUGAUCUCUGCAAUCCCUUUUAUAGUGGAAUUUGUGUUAAUUAGCUGGACAUUAUAAACUGGAGUCUGAGUAUGAUCAAAUGGAAAAAAUGAACAUACUGUAAAUAUAUUUUCCUUGAAAAUGAAAAUUUUGAAAUUUCGUUUCCAAAUAUAACUGUGAGUAUAUUACAGAGUUUCUUUCUUGCACAGUGCGUUGAUUUUCUUUCAAUCACAGGACAUGUGCUUCACUUUCUUCAAUUUGAAGACUAGUUGUACCUUUGCAUUCUUAAUCUGACCCCUUUUCUUUUUGCAGCCCAAUGCUCAAACUGAAGAUGAUGUUACUCCUCUAUUAUCAGCUGCUGCAGCUGGCUCAUUACAGUGUUUGGGGUUGUUAAUCAAGGUUAACUAACUCCCUUUCUAUUCCUUAUUAUUACAUUACUAAUUUGGAUGCCACCAUCUAUUAUACUGUAGCCAGCCUUCUAUAGUUGUCUACUAGCAUUUCGAUAUAUUGUUUUCAUUUACCACCAGCAAUGCUCCAUGGCCCAUGCAUUCACCUUUUUAUCCCUUUUAUUUUUCCUAGUUGACGCAUCAACAUCUAUGAAGGAUUAUGCUAUUUCUUGGGCAUUUGAUCUCCAGUUAUAAUAUUUGGUUUUGAUCUUACGAACUUAAUGUUCUAAAUGACACUAGUUUUAAUUGGAAUAGAAUAUGACUCUUCAAUCAAUGUUCAGUUGCAAUCAAGAUUCAGUUUCCUGUGAUUCCUGUAUUCAGGACAUGCAUGACUUAUAAGAGAGUGGUUUUCUAAUCCAUGGAAGUAAAAGAAACCAUGUUUUUAUUUUAUGAAAAUUAAGAAAUAUUAAAAAGCAUUUUGGCUUAGAGUUAUGCUCCAAAGCUACAUCUGUCUCAUUAGGGAACUCAAUUCUCUUGUAUCAGAAAUUUUGUUAACAUUUUUCAUUUCUCAAAGUACAAGGAUUCUCUUUUUUGCUCUUUUUUAAAGUGUCAUUCCUUUAAUGAUUUUUUCUUUGUAUUUCAACAUAAGCAUAUGCAAGAAAGCUAUGAUCUUCAAGCAAGGAGAAUUUUUUUUAGCGUUUGCCUAUAUGUUUCCUAGGCACGAGCCUAUUGCACGGAUCUGUGUUUAAUUGUCUCUAUGUGGUCUUUCUUUCUUUUAAAUCUCGUCUAUGUUAUUAGUAUGAGGAGCUUUAAUAUUUGUUAGCUGUUUGGUUAACAAGAAUGUUCUGAAUUGAUGCUCUUUUUGGCUGUUAAGUGGUUCAUCUUGCUUUAGAAAAUCGAAUAAUGUUCUUCUUCUUUUCCUUUUUCACGAAAAGUAAAAGUAAAGACUUUAUAUGCAGUGUUUGGCACAAUUUUUUUUAUUAAGAUUGAAAAUAUGAUUAUAUCUGAUGACUAAACUUAAUGGGAUCUUUUCUGCUGCGAUGUAUGCUGUCACGUUUUAACGGAUAAUUCAUUUGCAUGUUCAUCAAUUAUGAAAAUAAAAAAUGCCGGAUUUGGCUACGACAUGUAGUUUGUUUAUUUAUUUGUUUGUGUUUCCCCCCCCUUUUUUUGUUAAACAUACCAAGCACAAUACGCACUUUCUUCUUUUUUCAUACAGGCAGGUGCCAAUGUGAAUAUUACUGCUGGUGGAGCAACGCCUCUGCACAUUGCUGCUGAUGUUGGUAGCCCAGAAGUCAUAAACUGCUUAUUGCAAGCUGGAGCAAAUCCUAAUGCCACAGACGAGGUAACAUUCGCAGAUAUGUGCAAAAGUUUUUGUAUUUUACUAUUUAUGUACAAGUUUUUAAUUAGAGAUUUUUUGGUCUUUCGUGUGUUCACCCUUUCAAGGUUCAAGCGGAAUAUUGCUACAGGAUAAGUUUGAAAAUACCGUCAUAUAUCUUUAUUUGAUAUAAGAUUUCCCUGACCCUAAAUCAUACCGAAUAUUAUAUUUAAUAUGUUGGGUAGAAAAGAUACUUGUAAUUACUAAUCACACAUCCCAUUUGCCAGGAAAUAGUAGGAAAAAGAGUUCCGAAAUGUUGGUUGCUGUUCAAUAGAUCAAGCUACUGCUGUUUUUACACUCACUUUGAACUGAAUGCAUAAUCUGUGAAAGUUCCCCUUAUAUUUACUGCUCAACUAGCUGAUUUCAUUUGGAACAUUCAUUUUUAUUCAUGAAGACGUUUUCGUUGAAAAUCUAUCUUGUUAAUGGUGGAAGAAAGGAAUGUGCUUAAUUACGCAAUCUGCCAUCCCCUCUUUAAGUUUUUGCAUUUAUAUUUUGUCUUGCAUUUUUCACCAAAUUUUCCGACUCUUAACAAGACCCCAUUAGCUGAUGCAUUCUGUAGUAUGGACACUUCAACUAGAGUGAUGUGCUCGUGUCCGACACGUGUCGAAACCGAUGCUCCUCGAACACUUUAUCAUAAACAUUUUUCUUUUUUUAUUAAAAACGUUUUUCUUUUUUUAUUAAAAUUUUUAUAUAUUUUUAAUUCAAAAUUAUUAGUAAAUAAUAAAUGGGUAUGCAUAUUUAAAAGAUUUCAACAAGAAAAACUAAUAACGAGUAUAAAACUAAAUUCAUACUAUGGCCCUGUUUGAGCCGCAUUCUUUCAAAAAAAUACAUUAUUAAACAGUGAUUUGAUAUCAUUUUAACCACAUAUUUUUCAAUAAAAUAAUAUUAUACGCAAAUCCAAAAUUGCUCCUCAACACAUUCUCCAUCAAUUUACUAUUCGAAAANGGUGGCGGAGAGAAAUUCUUAAGCCCUACGACAGUGGUAGGUUUCCAGUCCACAAACCGACGAGUAUAGAAUUCAUUGUUUGACUACAAAAAUGAAAAAUAUAAUUGUUAUUCAUUCCAUCAAACUAUCAUAUUUAACUUUUUAUUUUGUUUGGAUCUUAUAAUAACUAUAUUUUUCAUUCUCAUUCUUAUAAAAAUGGAUACCAAACGAACCUGAAAUUGAAAAUAUUUCGAAUUGCCCCUCUUACUUCUAAAAAUAUGCAAUUUACACCCUGUGGCUGUAAAAUAAAGCAAAUUGUGUGUUAGUUUUUCUUUUUAUAGCCCCUCUAUUUCAUAGGUUUAUGCCUUGAUGUUGGUAAUAUAAUGCUCCUUCUACGCAAGAAAAAAAAUCUUUAGACUAAAUGUUAACAACAACAAAAUUGUGUAAAAUUUUGAAAUAUAUUUUAGGCAAGUCAAAGGAUGGGGAAGAGAUUAAUGAUAGUUUUUAUUUCUUACACCACAUUUGAAGUUUAGAACUUUAUUCGCGAUUGAACUUAUGUUGUCGUCUUCAUUUUUCAAUCUUCCAUUAAUUAGAAUGUAUUUUCACUAAUGACUCUUUCCGUCCAAAAAAGAUGUAUGGAAAAACUUAUUCUUCCCUUAUAUUUUUAAAUAAGCAUUUGCUACAAUUUAUUUUAUACAAUUUAAAGAAGAUUUUAUAACGUGUAAAAAAUGUCCUUAUCCUUGAUAUCAUUAAUUAUUUGGAAUUUGCUCCUGUAACAAGGAGGCGGAGCCCCACAAAUGGGGGCAGGGCCUGCAAAAAAAAAAAGGAAUCUCCCCCCCUAUUUGUGGGGUUCGGUCAUCAGCCCCUAUUGCUGUAGCGACACCUUAAUUAUUUUAUCCAAUUUGAAGAAUAUAUCUAUUCCUAAUACAAACACCAUAAUCUCUCUUAACCACCCAAGUCUGAAGAAUGAUCCUUUACCAUCCCCCACUUUCCCAAGAAAAAAAAUGCAUAUAUUGGUGCGUUUUUCUUUCAUAUGCGGGGAUUCGAAUGCUUCACCACGUUUUGUGCAGUUACACAAUGAUCAAAGUGAAGAGCCUGCAUAAAUACUGUAACUUCAAAAUUUCAAGGGAAAUAUCCAUUUCUAACUUGAAUUUUGCUAAUUGUACAACCAAGGUUGACGGUUGUACAUAUAACAUUUUCCAAAAUAAAUUUUAAACAGUGAUUUGACAUCAUUUUAACCACACAUUCUUGUAAAUUCAAAAUUUUUUCUUAUUUUUUUACCACACAUUUCCCAUCAUUACACUAUUCAAAAAUGCAUUUUUAUGAAAAUAAGACUCAAACAAGGGCAAAGUAAGAAGAAUUAUUCUAUUUGUACAAAUAAUCUGUAUACCAGAAUGACAGAUCUGAAAAAGAAAAACAUUACCCACUAUGUAACUGUGACAUAUAUAAACUUGAUGACAUCAUUUGCACCCCGGGCCCAAAACGGACACCAUAUGCAAAAGUUAUGCUCAAUUCUUCGAAUGCCGACAAUCCAAGCGUUACAAAUAUGCAAAUGCUCAUUCUUUCGAAAAAUGGCUGAAAUCCCUCUUACGUCACGACGAAGUAGUGAGUUCAAUCCAAAACGGUCGCUACAAUUCCGAAAAGUACUUAUGGGACCAAAACGGAUGCCGUAUGCAAAAGUUAUGCUCAAUUCAUCGAACGCCGACAAUCCAAGCGUUCCAAAUAUGCAAGUGCUUAAUCUUUCGAAAAUUUACGAAGAAUUUGUGAUUUAGUGUUGAACAAACACAUGUUUCUAAAAAUACUCUCACUCAAUAUGUUUUACAAUUGGGUGAAAGUUCAGUUAAAAAGAUUUCGUUUUGCCUGGGAGGAUGGAUAAUUCGUUGUGCAUGUAUCAUGAGGUUAUUCUACGGAUAGCCAAACUCCGUUGGUGCAUGAUGCAGUUAUUAACAAAUGAAAAAGAAAAAAUAAAGAGUUUCAUGUUUAAUGAGACAAGAUGGUAAAACAUAUGGGUGAAAUAAUUGUGUCUUUCAGAUAGAGUUUUGAACGAAGGAAAUGAGUUGGUUAGCUGCAUAAGAAAUGUGUUAUUACAAGGGUCUAGAGUUUGUCAUUAGGGUAGAAGCCCAGCUGGUAAGGAAGAAUUGUGGUGGAAUGAGAAGGUUUGGAUGGUGCAUGAGGCUCAAAUUAAUGCUAUAGAAACAUACCAAAUAAAAAAAUUACAGAGACUUUCGAGAAAUAAUUAACUAAAUGGAAGUUAAAAGAGGCUAGUUUAGGGGCAUAUUGAAUAUCAGAUUCGUAUCUAGUAAUAUGAAAUAAGUUUAAGCUGAUGUAAUGAAGACACAGAUCAUUGUUCUUAAAUUGAAGUAUGUUGCUGACACUGGUUAGAAGACAGAUUCUGAGUCCAAUUUUUCUAUUUUAAAAAAAAAUAAAAAAUUGACUUACUCGCUGAUGAUUCUUUUCACUGAUGAUUCUUUUCAGGUAACACCAGAGGCCAAGAAGAAAGCUGCUGAAGCAAAGGCAAGAGGUGACGAGGCUUUUAAGAGGAAAGAUUAUAUGACUGCAGUUGAUGCUUAUACACAGGUUUGGUUUUGUUUACUUUACUUUCUUUAUAUACAUCCAGUAUACACAGGUUUGGUUUUGUUUUGUUUACUUUC